CGGUGGGAAGGUCUCCGCCAGCUGUGGUGAGGGUGCAAGGCAGAGGAGAUGCGGUUGUUGCUUGGAGACAGGGAAUGACAACAGACGAAGUUUUUUUCUCACAAGCUUGUGACUGUCUGUACCUGUGAAAAAUGGACUCCAAACGCCAAUACGCAGGGGAGCGAGGUGUGAAAACCCUGACCUUGGAGGCGCUGGGAGUGUGACUGUUGUGGUGCUUCAUUUAUUUUGCUGCUGUACUUUGACGGGAUGCUGCUGGACAGAAGCUGAGCUCAAUUUUAAGCCUUUGGUGUAGAUUAAUCUUGAGAGCCCCCCCUUUUUUUUAAUAGUUGCUUAUUGCCAGUCUAAACUGUCUCGUGCUGGGACAUGCUUCAUCCCAGGGGUGAUGUGGACACGUGGGUUCCUCGUUGUAAGGAAGUUGGUCAAUCUGUGAACGUCAUUGUUUUGCCACAACGAACAGUGGUUUGAUGUGGGCCAGGGAUUAAAUUGCUGUAUGGCAUGAAAUCAUCCCUUCCUGCUGCCAGUGAGGGGACAAAAGCUAAUUCAUGGCAGUAAUAAGCCUUCACCAGUGGAGGAGCAGUUAAGAAGUCUUAUCUGCCUCACCCAGACCUUUAUCAGGGCAACCCUGCUUCCAGCAAGAAACAAGUGAAGUAGGAAGAGCAACACCCCCUGCUUACUUACAGAUAUUUGCCUUUUUAAUGAAAAGAAAUGAGUAAGAACAAAGUGCCCCAGGCCUGAUGCUUAGCUAAGCCUGUGUGCACAUCAGUAAAUGUUUUCCCUGCAGGAUCAAGCCUGGUCACAGCUGUGUAGGAAUGGUCUGAACUGGAAGACUAAACCAUGUGAGCUCCAAGUGAUCAAUGGAGAGAUUUCCUGGCUCCUCAGCACGAGGUACAAGGGUUCUUGGACUGCAAUAUUUCUCAAAACUCAGCAGGGAGCAAGUCCUCUCCUCACCCACAAAAAGCAUCACCUCACCGUGCCGGGGAUAAAACCCUCCUGGAGUGCCGAACGCCAGAGCUUCCACUGCAGGUGCUUUGUCCACCGUCUGCCACCCCCAGCAUGUCGCCGAGACGAAGUCCCUGCAGGUUUCCAGGUUUCAGCAAGGACGGUAAGCACAGAGAGGCCCCAACUGAUGUGUCCGUCCCUUCUCUUCUCCAAGGAUGACCUACUCAAAGCUGCACACAGAUUUAGAAAAUUUAUUUUAAUUUCUAUUCACGCUCUCUAGCCCUUUCUGAAAUUAUUAAUUUCUGCUUUUUUAAGGUUCUGGGCUUUAUUAUCCACUCAGUAAGACAGGACUAACAGUCUUUGGCCUGUGUAUUCAGACUGUGAACUCUUCCAUCUCGAGACUGUUCCUAGUUGGUCUGGCUGGGAAUUGGUGGUCUAAUUUUCAGAUGGGACCUACGCACACGCAGUUUUACAACGAGCAGUAAGGAAAGUCCCCACACGUCCCUCCUGACUCGGAUAGGCAGGACUGUUCACGCCACCCAGACAAAUGCAGGAAGCAGCUGCCACAGCCAACAUACCUUUCAAGAGCUGACAAAUCUUUCCUAGCAUGAAGGGGAUUGGAAAUCUAAACAUUGACUUUUGUUGCACGCCCAAACUAUUUAGCUCUCAGCAUGGGUCAAGCAAUAUGUUUCCUUUAGAUACUAUGAUGUUUUAUUUUCUUUUUGACUCGUUAAACUUUAUUUGAACUUGCAUUAUAUAAAUUAAAUAAAUUCAAUUAAAAUUCAAAUACA
ensembl:lncRNA